rnacentral:sRNA from 1 species
UAUUUCCGCUAUUUGCCCGAUUUGAUUUGACACCAGCCACCGAGUUUGAUUUUUUUAUGGAUAUCAUUAGUAACAAGAAAUUCCCUAAAUUGCUGUGGGCAAGCGUGUGUGUUCCAUUGACUUUCCCUGCUUGUCUUUUCAGGGAGGAGCUUUAUCUUUAUAUACUGCCCUUACCAUGCAGCAGAAACUGGCAGGUGUCACUGCACUCAGUUGCUGGCUUCCACUUCGGGCUUCCUUUCCACAGGGUCCUAUCGGUGGUGCUAAUAGAGAUAUUUCUAUUCUCCAGUGCCAUGGGGAUUGUGACCCGUUGGUUCCCCUGAUGUUUGGUUCUCUUACGGUUGAAAAACUAAAAACAUUGGUGAAUCCAGCCAAUGUGACCUUUAAAACCUAUGAAGGUAUGAUGCACAGUUCGUGUCAACAGGAAAUGAUGGAUGUCAAGCAAUUCAUUGAUAAACUCCUACCUCCAAUUGAUUGACGUCACUAAGAGGCCUUGUGUAGAAGUACACCAGCAUCAUUGUAGUAGAGUAUAAACCUUUUCCCAUGCCCAGUCUUCAAAUUUCUAAUGUUUUGCAGUGUU